CAGCCGCCACGGGAAUACGAAGGGUGCAAGCGUUAAUCGGAAUUACUGGGCGUAAAGCGUGCGUAGGCGGUUUGUUAAGUCUGCUGUGAAAUCCCCGGGCUCAACCUGGGUAUGGCAGUGGAUACUGGCAAGCUAGAGUGUGUCAGAGGAUGGUGGAAUUCCCGGUGUAGCGGUGAAAUGCGUAGAGAUCGGGAGGAACAUCAGUGGCGAAGGCGGCCAUCUGGGACAACACUGACGCUGAGGCACGAAAGCGUGGGGAGCAAACAGGAUUAGAUACCCCGGUAGUCCCUGUCUCUUAUAC
rnacentral:rRNA from 1 species